rnacentral:misc_RNA from 1 species
GAUGAAGAACGUAGUGAAAUGCGAUAAGUAAUGUGAAUUGCAGAAUUCAGUGAAUCAUCGAAUCUUUGAACGCACAUUGCGCCCCUUGGUAUUCCAUGGGGCAUGCCUGUUCGAGCGUCAUUUGUACCUUCAAGCUUUGCUUGGUGUUGGGUGUUUGUCUCGCCUUUGCGUGUAGACUCGCCUUAAAAUAAUUGGCAGCCGGCGUAUUGAUUUCGGAGCGCAGUACAUCUCGCGCUUUGCACUCAUAACGACAGCGUCCAAAAGUACAUUUUACACUCUUGACCUCGGAUCAGGUAGGGAUACCCGCUGAACUUAAGCAUAUCAAUAAGCGGAGA